AAGAUUUUAAGUUAAUUAAAACUAUUAUCCUUCAAAGUUAAAAAUAAAUAAAAUAUUUAAAUCUUA
rnacentral:tRNA from 1 species